rnacentral:rRNA from 1 species
UACGUACGCAGCGAGCGUUGUUCGGAGUUACUGGGCGUAAAGGGUGUGUAGGCGGUUCUUUAAGUUUGGUGUGAAAUCUCCCGGCUCAACCGGGAGGGUGCGCCGAAUACUGAGGGACUUGGAGUGCGGGAGAGGAAAGUGGAAUUCCUGGUGUAGCGGUGAAAUGCGUAGAUAUCAGGAGGAACACCGGUGGUGUAGACGGCUUUCUGGACCGUAACUGACGCUGAGGCGCGAAAGCGUGGGGAGCAAACGGG